UACGGGGGGGAGCAAGCGUUUGUUCGGAUUUACUGGGCGUAAAGGGCGCGUAGGCGGUCAGAUAAGUCAGCUGUGAAAACCUCGGGCUUAACCCGAGCCUGCAGUUGAAAACUGUUUGGCUGGAGUGUGGGAGAGGAGAGUGGAAUUCCCGGUGUAGCGGUGAAAUGCGUAGAGAUCGGAAAGAACACCAACGGCGAAAGCACUCUGCUGGGCCGACACUGACACUGAGAGACGAAAGCUAGGGGAGCGAAUGGGG
rnacentral:rRNA from 1 species